AACGAACGCUGGCGGCAUGCCUAACACAUGCAAGUCGAACGAGACCUUCGGGUCUAGUGGCGCACGGGUGCGUAACGCGUGGGAACCUGCCCUUAGGUUCGGAAUAACUCCCCGAAAGGGGUGCUAAUACCGGAUAAUGUCUUCGGACCAAAGAUUUAUCGCCUUUGGAUGGGCCCGCGUUGGAUUAGCUAGUUGGUAGGGUAAAAGCCUACCAAGGCGACGAUCCAUAGCUGGUCUGAGAGGAUGAUCAGCCACACUGGGACUGAGCCACGGCCCAGACUCCUACGGGAGGUAGCAGUGGGGAAUAUUGGACAAUGGGCGAAAGCCUGAUCCAGCAAUGCCGCGUGAGUGAUGAAGGCCUUAGGGUUGUAAAGCUCUUUUACCCGGGAUGAUAAUGACAGUACCGGGAGAAUAAGCUCCGGCUAACUCCGUG
rnacentral:rRNA from 1 species